rnacentral:rRNA from 1 species
AUUGAACGCUGGCGGCAUGCCUUACACAUGCAAGUCGAACGGUAACAGGUCUUCGGAUGCUGACGAGUGGCGAACGGGUGAGUAAUACAUCGGAACGUGCCUAGUAGUGGGGGAUAACUACUCGAAAGAGUGGCUAAUACCGCAUGAGAUCUACGGAUGAAAGCAGGGGAUCGAAAGACCUUGUGCUACUAGAGCGGCCGAUGGCAGAUUAGGUAGUUGGUGGGAUAAAAGCUUACCAAGCCGACGAUCUGUAGCUGGUCUGAGAGGACGAUCGGCCACAUGGGGAGUGAGACACGGCCCAGACUCCUACGGGAGGCAGCAGUGGGGAAUUUUGGACAAUGGGCGAAAGCCUGAUCCAGCAAUGCCGCGUGCAGGAUGAAGGCCUUCGGGUUGUAAACUGCUUUUGUACGGAACGAAAAGCCCUGGGUUAAUACCCUGGGGUCAUGACGGUACCGUAAGAAUAAGCACCGGCUAACUACGUGCCAGCCGCCGCGGUAAAAC